rnacentral:lncRNA from 1 species
ACUUUGCUGUAAUCUACCGACAGUCCCUAGCGCAAGUGAUAAAGGUCUUGAUAGUUGGUACCCGAGGUCCCAAGUUCGAAUUCUAGUUGAUUCACAUUUCUAGCUAAGUUUAUUUUUAAAUAAAAUAAACGAAGCGGAUAGCAUGCUACCUAUCUCUCAAAAAAAAAGAACUUUACUGUAAUUUGUUGCUCAGUGCAGAGCCCUC